CCUACGGGGGGCAGCAGUGAGGAAUAUUGGUCAAUGGCCGAGAGGCUGAACCAGCCAAGUCGCGUGAGGGAAGACUGCCCUACGGGUUGUAAACCUCUUUUGUCGGGGAGUAAAGCGAGUCACGUGUGACUCAUUGAGAGUACCCGAUGAAAAAGCAUCGGCUAACUCCGUGCCAGCAGCCGCGGUAAUACGGAGGAUCCGAGCGUUAUCCGGAUUUAUUGGGUUUAAAGGGUGCGCAGGCGGAGGUGCAAGUCAGCGGUCAAAUUUCGGGGCUCAACCCCGUACUGCCGUUGAAACUGCAUGCCUUGAGUGCACGAGAAGUAUGCGGAAUGCGUGGUGUAGCGGUGAAAUGCAUAGAUAUCACGCAGAACUCCGAUUGCGAAGGCAGCAUACCGGCGCGCAACUGACGCUCAUGCACGAAAGCGUGGGUAUCGAACAGGAUUAGAUACCCGUGUAGUC
rnacentral:rRNA from 1 species